UACGGAGGGUGCAAGCGUUAUCCGGAUUUACUGGGUUUAAAGGGUGCGCAGGCGGAUAUGUAAGUCAGUGGUGAAAUCUUCCCGCUUAACGGGAAAACUGCCGUUGAUACUAUAUAUCUUGAAUGCCGUGGAGGUAAGCGGAAUAUGUCAUGUAGCGGUGAAAUGCUUAGAGAUGCGGAGGAACACCGAUGGCGAAGGCAGCCCCCUGGGUCGACACUGACGCUCAGGCACGAAAGCGUGGGGAGCAAACAGG
rnacentral:rRNA from 1 species